rnacentral:rRNA from 1 species
AUGGCGUGCGGAGCCGCCCAGCGGGACUACGCCGCCGCGCUCACCAAGUCGCUGCUCUACUUCGAGGCGCAGCGCUCCGGCAGGCUGCCGCCGACCCAGCGCGUCCAGUGGCGCGGAAACUCGGCCCUCAAGGACGGCGCCGACCACGGGGUGGAUCUCACGGGCGGCUACUACGACUCCGGCGACAACGUCAAAUUCGGGUUCCCGAUGGCGUUCACGGUGACGAUGCUGUCGUGGAGCGUGGUCGAGCACCGGAGCCGGCUGGCCGCGGCGGGGGAGCUGGGCCACGCGCUCCAGGCGGUGCGGUGGGGCGCCGACUACCUGGCCAAGGCACACGCCCGCCCCGAUGUGCUCUACGUGAAUGUCGGCGACGGCGACUCCGACCACGCGUGCUGGGAGCGGCCGGAGGACAUGGACACGCCUCGGAGGUCCUACAUGGUGAACACCACCCACCCGGGCUCCGACGUCGCCGCCGAGACGGCGGCGGCGCUGGCCGUGGCCUCCGUCGCGUUCACGGGGCCGCGCGGCGACCCCCGGUACGCGUCGACGCUUCUGAAGCACGCGAAACAGGUGCGCAUUACUUACAUGCAGAGAGAUUAUACAAUGGAUGGUCAAAAAACAGUAGGUAAUCAUGGUGACGAGCUGCUGUGGGCAGCUAUCUGGCUCUACAUCGCCACCGGCCACCAGGAGUACAAGGCCUACAUCGCCGGCGCCAACAACGUCGGCGGGGUGCCGCAGUCCUUGGGUUGGGAUGACAAGUUCGUCGGAGCCCAGGCACUGGUCGCCAAGCUCAUCCUCCAAGGGAAGCUGCCCAACAACGGCCGCCACGCCGAGAUGAGGAGCAACGUGGAGAGCUUCCUCUGCAACGUCCUUCAGCACGGCGACGGCCGCAGCGGGCGGCUAACCCCGGGCGGCAUGCUCUACCUGCAGCCCUGGUCUAACCUGCAGGACGUCACGACGGCGAUGUUCGUCCUCGUCACGCACGCCGACCAACUGGCGGCGGCGAGGGCUUCCCUGCAGUGCGGCGGCGUGAGGCUGCCGCCGGCGCAGCUCGUCUCGUUCGCACGGUCACAGGUUGACUACAUCCUUGGCAAGAACCCCAUGAAGAUGAGCUACAUGGUUGGGGUUGGAAAGCGGUACCCGUUGCAGCCGCACCACCGCGGCGCCUCGCUGCCAUCCACCAAGAACAACCCGGGGAAGAUCUCCUGCGGCAAGGGAGCCGACUACUUCCACAGGUCUGCGCCCAACUUGAAUGUGCUCGACGGUGCCAUCGUCGGAGGGCCUGACAACAACGACCAUUACGACGAUUCUCGGGGAAAUUACCAGCAAGGCGAGCCAUCGACCUACACUGUCGCGCCCAUCGUCGGAGUUCUUGCUAGGCUUCUGCAUAACUGA